UUGGAGGGCAAGUCUGGUGCCAGCAGCCGCGGUAAUUCCAGCUCCAAUAGCGUAUAUUAAAGUUGUUGCAGUUAAAAAGCUCGUAGUUGAACCUUGGGCCUGGCUGGCCGGUCCGCCUCACCGCGUGCACUGGUUCGGCCGGGCCUUUCCCUCUGGGGAACCCUAUGGUCUUCACUGAUCGUAGCGGGGAACCAGGACUUUUACUGUGAAAAAAUUAGAGUGUUCAAAGCAGGCCUAUGCUCGAAUACAUUAGCAUGGAAUAAUAAAAUAGGACGUGUGGUCCUAUUUUGUUGGUUUCUAGGACCGCCGUAAUGAUUAAUAGGGACAGUCGGGGGCAUCAGUAUUCAAUUGUCAGAGGUGAAAUUCUUGGAUUUAUUGAAGACUAACUACUGCGAAAGCAUUUGCCAAGGAUGUUUUCAUUAAUCAGGAACGAAAGUUAGGGGAUCGAAGACGAUCAGAUACCGUCGUAGUCUUAACCAUAAACUAUGCCGACUAGGGAUCGGACGGUGUUAUUUUUUGACCCGUUCGGCACCUUACGGGAAAC
rnacentral:rRNA from 1 species